AGCGAAUAGAUACCCCGGUAGUCCACGCCGUAAACGAUGGAUACUAGCUGUUCGGAGCAAUCUGAGUGGCUAAAGCGAAAAAGUGACAAGUAUCCCACCUGGGGAGUACGCACGCAAGUGUGAAACUCAAAGGAAUUGACGGGGGCCCGCACAAGCGGUGGAGCAUGUGGUUUAAUUCGAUGAUACGCGAGGAACCUUACCAGGGCUUAAAUGUAGAUUGACAGGACUGGAAACAGUUUUUCUUCGGACAAUUUACAAGGUGCUGCAUGGUUGUCGUCAGCUCGUGCCGUGAGGUGUCAGGUUAAGUCCUAUAACGAGCGCAACCCCUGUCGUUAGUUGCCAGCGAGUCAUGUCGGGAACUCUAACGAGACUGCCAGUGUAAACUGUGAGGAAGGUGGGGAUGACGUCAAAUCAUCACGGCCCUUACGUCCUGGGCCACACACGUGCUACAAUGGUAGGUACAGAGAGCAGCCACUGCGCGAGCAGGAGCGAAUCUACAAAACCUAUCUCAGUUCGGAUCGGAGU
rnacentral:rRNA from 1 species